rnacentral:rRNA from 1 species
UACAGAGGGUGCGAGCGUUAAUCGGAAUUACUGGGCGUAAAGCGUGCGUAGACGGUUAUUUAAGUCGGAUGUGAAAGCCCCGGGCUCAACCUGGGAAUUGCAUUCGAGACUGCAUAGCUAGGGUGCGGAAGAGGGAAGCGGAAUUUCCGGUGUAGCGGUGAAAUGCGUAGAUAUCGGAAGGAACAUCAGUGGCGAAAGCGGCUUCCUGGUCCAGCACCGACGUUCAGGCACGAAAGCGUGGGGAGCAAACAGG